CCGAUCAACGCAAACUAGAACGAGUAGACAUUCCAACAGCUUGUUCCCUUUUGCGAUCAACUUGUUAAACACCUGACGUACAAUUGGAUUGCAACAUGCUGGCAAUUUUUUGACUGGGUUUCUGUGGGGCCAAUGAUGUAUUACUCGUGCACUCACUGUAGUUGUCUCGCCAUGCUGCACUAUUUGCAUAUACUGGCCACUCGUGCCAGAGUAGCAUCUGCUCCAUUUGCACAACCAACAUUGUCCCAGACUAUCGCACUACUCGUCACUUUAAACCGCAUACAGUCCUUGAAGUCUCAGCGGCCUGUGCACAAUGGUCACUGCACCGGACUAUUGCAAUAUUAGUCAUUGGAAGUGCUCUAAGUGCUAGAGGACUCUGCAUGUUUUUGCACAAUUGUCCCAAAAAAAAAAAAAAUAAUUACCAGAUAACUAGCAACCCUUUACUGCUCAGUGACUGUUUUGUUGAUUUUUUCGGUCAAUGUCUUUCUGUCUCCAAAGUGUUCUGUAAAUUGACUGUCUGUUGUCGUACUCUAGCGGCUCCAACUACCGGAGCCAAAUUCCUUGUGCGUUUUUUUGGACAUACUUGGCAAAUAAAGAUGGUUCUGAUUGUGAUCUGCUCUGAAGAGGGGCUGUGACACGUGGUGAAGAAUUGGCACGUGUUUGAAAUCCGUUUUUCAACGUGAGCAUGAAUCACGAUGUAUUUGGAAAUAUUUCUAAUAUAUAAGAGUUGAAGAGUUUGUGAAUAGUUGGCGCAGAUUACGUUGACACGUGUAGGAAGGCUCUCCGUCCGCUAGGCGGCGGUGUUGCCGUCUCCCAAUUGAGCAUUGCCGAACAAGGCGGGCAAACCAGCAGCCCCCAGCAGUCAUGAGUAAGUAAAAUGUAAAGGAAUGGCCUUCCUCGUCUGUCAGCAACAUGCAAAAACCAGCGUAUUAUUACGGUGUUGAAAUAAUAACAGAGAGGAGCCAGCAACACUGCCGCCUAGCGGACGGAGGGAGGAUCGGUCUUCCCACACGUGUGACGGCUGAAUUGUCUUUAUUUUUUUUCAACUCGCGACCGCGUGACGUUUGUCUCCGGAAUGAACCUUGAACAAUUCGCAAGCAAUAUGGAACAUUUCCAAAUGAAACGUCACGACCGAUGCGCGCGCAACAUUUGAAAGAUUCCAAAAAGGUUGUAAGUCGCUGAUUUGAAACACACGGGCAACUAAUUGAGAGCAAAUCAAGUGCAGGCUUGCACCUGAGGGGGGCGGGGCGUAUAUAAGGUGCGCCGGUCCCAAGGAAGCGGAAGCAGUCGGCGAGGUGCUCGCCGUGGGGAGCGGAGCGGAGCUUGAGCAGGUAAGCGGCGACGUUUGUUUUCUGCCAAACUCAUCGUUCAAGUGUUUUCCCACUCGUAGGUGCCCGCUGAGCUGAACUUCCUGGAGAGUCCCCGGUUCUUUGACCGAGUCGUUCCGAGGUAAAGCGUCCUAACCCUUUCCAAUGUUUUUGUCUGCAGCAGCACGAGCCGACGUUCAAAGGUGAGCUUUGCAAUCAGCAGCACGAGGAGGAGUUGAACCAAGCGGCCGGCGUCGAGGAGCUCCACCACCCGGGAGGUCAGUGCCCGUGGCCGUCGUCAGAUGAUCCGCUUGCAAAUAUCCGCGUUUUUACUGCGCGGGAUUCAAUCGGAAUAGUUUGGUUGUCCUUUCCCACCCUUGCAGAUGAUUGACAGACUGGAGCAGAAGGGCGCCCGCUGCUGGUCUGAGGCAGCAACUGCAGCUGUGCCGUUUGUCCCCACUGAACGCUUUGCAAAUGAUUCGCGACACGUACGGCGGUCAGCAACUUUGUCCGCACAGCCUGCACGUCAGCCUGGGGUUGAGUUGGUUAGCCUGACCGACCUACCUGCCUAAAAUUUCCACUCUGCAGACUUUCCUCGUUGACCUAAUUGUUUGUUUUCUAGUGGCGACGGUGUCUGAGGGGUGGCGCACAAGAUCCAAAGACUUCCAAGAGCAGAUGAACAGCAAAGCGGCACGAGAGACAUUUGAUGACCAGAGUGGCCGCAGCCUUCCGUUGGGAGACUGUGGCUCGGCGAGAGUCAACCGGAGGAAGAAAAUUCAGAAGACCCCGUCACAAACAUUUGUUGCGAGGCCUCCACCCGAUGAGCAGCUCUUUGGUCGGCGGUGUGGCAAAGGGCCUAGCAGAAGUCUAGUGGGACAAUUGGAACAGCCACCUUUUUCUAUUUGAGGCUGAUGGUCAAUGCCGUUCCUACCAGUUAGUGUUGCAAGGAGGGCCUCAGAACAGAAUUGCAGUCAAGUCCCCUUCAAAGCGCUGGCUCUUCCUCUUCCUGACAACUGCUGCUGUUAAAAUGGGCCUGCAAGCUGAUUUUUGGAAAGCUUUUUUCCCCCCCCCCAAGAAUAAGCAGGUUCAGGGUUUUGUGGCUGAAUGCUGCUUGACUGAAAAGCAGCCAAUAGGAGGAGUAAGUGUAAUGGCAAAGUUGUGACUUUAAUUUGAAUUUGCAGGCUGGACUUUCCCAGUGACGAGUACUUGGAGAAGAGGCCCUUCAAGCUGAUUUGGUCAGUUUUAUUGAGCAGGUUGUUAAAGUAUGACUUUGAAAGUUUUUUGCAGGCUCUGGGUUUGGUGGCGUGCUGUUGUCGCCUUUUGGGGGUUGAAGAUCAGGCCUCCGAGUUGUCUUUGGAAGUACCCUUCCACCUAAAGGUAAUCACAGUUAAGAAAAGUUGUCACUUAAUGCAAUGUGUUUCGAAUCCCAUUUUGUGCGCAGGCUCUGAAUGUUCUGGGGGACGGCUGUCACGUUCCAAAUGAUGGCUGCUGUUGCUGGAAAGGCUCUUCCAAGGUUGGCUGUGGGGCUUCCUGUCAACCACUGCUGUGAUGAGACCUGAAUUUGUUUGUAUCUUUGAUUAUGGCAAAAGACUUCCAGGUUGGAAUGCAGUCAAUUUUUAUUUUUUUUGGCCAAGGAGGUGUGGAAAAGGAAUCUGUCUGGACAGUUGAUGGUGAGUGAAAGAACAUUCCACAAUUGAUUGGAGUGUGUUCACUGAUGGCUGUUUUUUGUUUUGCAGGUCUACAUGCUGUCGUUUGCCCAACGGUCCUCCAACUCAUCACGCCGAAGACGGGUGAGUAAAUGACAUGGUUGCAAACUGCAUCCUUGUCAUUUGCAAUGUUUCUUUUUUUUAAUAAAGUUUUUUGGAAAAAAGAAA